GAUGAACGCUGGCGGCGUGCCUAAUACAUGCAAGUCGAGCGAACAGACGAGGAGCUUGCUCCUCUGACGUUAGCGGCGGACGGGUGAGUAACACGUGGAUAACCUACCUAUAAGACUGGGAUAACUUCGGGAAACCGGAGCUAAUACCGGAUAAUAUAUUGAACCGCAUGGUUCAAUAGUGAAAGACGGUUUUGCUGUCACUUAUAGAUGGAUCCGCGCCGCAUUAGCUAGUUGGUAAGGUAACGGCUUACCAAGGCAACGAUGCGUAGCCGACCUGAGAGGGGGAUCGGCCACACUGGAACUGAGACACGGUCCAGACUCCUACGGGAGGCAGAAGUAGGGAAUCUUCCGCAAUGGGCGAAAGCUUGACGGAGCAACGCCGCGUGAGUGAUGAAGGUCUUCGGAUCGUAAACUCUGUUAUUAGGGAAGAACAAAUGUGUAAGUAACUAUGCACGUCUUGACGGUACCUAAUCAGAAAGCCACGGCUAACUACGUG
rnacentral:rRNA from 1 species